GACGAACGCUGGCGGCGUGCUUAACACAUGCAAGUCGAACGGAAAGGCCCUGCUUGCAUGGUACUCUAGUGGCGAACGGGUGAGUAACACGUGGGUGUUCUGCCCUGCUCUUCGGGAUAAGCCUGGGAAACUGUGUCUAAUACCGGAUAUUGGCCAUUUUUCUUCUUAUUGUUGGAAAGUUUUUUCGGUGUAGGAUGAGCUCGCGGCCUAUCAGCUUGUUUGUGGGGUAAUGGCCUACCAAGGCGGCGACGGGUAGCCGGCCUGCGAGGGUGGACGGCCACAAUGGGACUGAGAUACGGCCCAGACUCCUACGGGAGGCAGCAGUGGGGAAUAUUGCAAAAUGGGCGCAAGGCUGAUGCAGCGAAGCCGCGUGGGGGAUGACGGCCUUCGGGUUGUAAACUCCUUUCGCUAGGGACGAAGCUUUUUGUGACGGUACCUAGAGAAGAAGCACCGGCUAACUACGUG
rnacentral:rRNA from 1 species